rnacentral:rRNA from 1 species
CCUACGGGCGGCAGCAGUAGGGAAUAUUGCUCAAUGGGGGAAACCCUGAAGCAGCAACGCCGCGUGGAGGAUGAAGGUUUUCUGAUUUUAAACUCCUUUUGUUAGAGAAGAUAAUGACGGUAUCUAACGAAUAAGCACCGGCUAACUCCGUGCCAGCCGCCGCGGUAAUACGGAGGGUGCAAGCGUUACUCGGAAUCACUGGGCGUAAAGCGCGCGUAGGCGGGAUAGCAAGUCAGAUGUGAAAUCCUAUGGCUUAACCAUAGAACUGCAUUUGAAACUGUUAUUCUAGAGUAUGGGAGAGGUAGGUGGAAGUCGUGGUGUAGGGGUAAAAUCCGUAGAGAUCAAGAGGAAUACUCAUUGCGAAGGCGACCUGCUAGAACAUAACUGACGCUGAUGCGCGAAAGCGUGGGGAGCAAACAGGAUUAGAUACCCUGGUAGUC